UCAUGCCCCAAACAUUGGUUUGCUCUCAUGU
rnacentral:piRNA from 1 species